AGAAAAACUUUAAUGCUGAUCUGGUGAAAGUGAAACCCUACAAAAGUGAAGCUGCUCCAGUGAUCUUCUCAGCAGCGCUCUCCAGCGACUGAAACCCGAAACGACGAUCUUCUCCAGCGGUGCUCCGGUGACGAUCUUCUCCAGCGCUGCUCCGGUGACGAUCUUCUCAGUGGCGUUCUCCGACGAAUCGAUACUUUCAGUUUUCACUUUCUUCUGGCUGUUCCUUGAGCUAUCUUUUUAGUUCAUUUUUUUCUGUUUUUGACUUUUCUUUUUCUUCACUCUUAGUGAAAUUGAAGUUUUGGUUGUUGAUCUGUGAUGAACAGAAAUGGUGAUUCUGGAUCGAGGAGUUAGGGUUUUGAUUGAGAGCGAUGGAGAGAGGGAAGAUCGCGAUAAGGAGGAUCGACAAUUCCACGAGCAGGCAAGUGACGUUCUCGAAGUGAAGGAAUGGUUUGUUGAAGAAGGCGAAGGAGCUUGUGAUUUUGUGCGAUGCUGAGGUUGGAGUUAUGAUCUUUUCCAGCACUAACUCUAUGAUUUCUCCGGUACCAGAGAUGGCGAGAGUACGCAUCAAGAGGACUAUCGGGGUAAACAUCAUUUGGUUGCAACCAACGAAAUGAAAUUCUGCUUGGAUGCUUCCCCAAAACAAAAGCUUAUUUCUAAGGAGUUCAAGAGAGGUACAUUUUCUGCUUGCAGAUGGGAUGCAAAUCAGAUGGUAUUAGUCCUGGUGGGAUUCGCUCUUGGAUUGCAAAAGGAAGAAGAGGUGAACUGUAUGUUGUUUUCUUCAAUUUAAGUGAACAAAAGACAGUGAUAAGUACAAAGACAUCGUCUCUGGCUGAAGUAUCUUUUUCUGAUAAAUUGAACCAAUUCAAAACUUGAUUUGCAGAGAGCAAAGCAAGGAUUUACUAGAAGAUUAUGGGAUUGAUGAAGAGUGAGGGUCUGUUGGCCAGAAUUGGUCUAUCACAAGAUUCUCUAAAGUUGCUCAAGAGAGAAAAGAUACUUGCAAUUUGAGUUUCUCACUAGCUACCUCGCAGAGCUCAGUUUGUUGGAUUAUAAUUGUGUGAAAUUCUUGCCUUCUUUGGUGGCAGCAUCUGUUGUAUUUCUAGCAAGAUUUAUGCCAAGUCCAAAGACACAUCCUUGGAAUGCGGCACUUUAUCAACUCACUAGAUAUAAACCUGCCGAAUUGCAGGAAUGUGCUCAAAGUAUACAUGAUCUGUACCUCAGCAGGAGAGGUGGCUCUUUGCAAGCUGUGAGGGAGAAAUACAAACAACAUAAGGUUUAUGAUUAUCUGAUUGAUACUGCUGCUCGUGAUCAAACAAGAGAGCGCAUCAAUGAGUUCUUGAAAGUGUUAAAAGCCAUGACCUAGCAAAAGCUGAGAUUCUCAACAUAAUCAACAUCAGGCCCACCAACAUAGUCGAAAUUCCAUCACUAGAAGAGUUAGGAAGUAGGUCUUCUGGAGCGAGCAACAACGAAGCAUGAUCUUGCAUGAUAAAGAUUUUAUGUAUUAAGGAUAUAUAUAUAGAUAGUAAGACGAAUUAUUGAAAAAUGUUAUCUUUGAUACUUUGUUUUUGGAUUAUGACUCUUGAUUUUCGGAGAUUAUGUAUGAAUUAAAAAUCUUGUUAUAAUGUUUGAUUUAAGGCUAUGCCUUUUGAUUAUUAA